rnacentral:rRNA from 1 species
CGCGGUAUUAUGACCGUGCGAAGGUAGCAUAAUCAUUAGUCUUUUAAUUGGGGGCUGGAAUGAAUGGUUGGACGAGAAAUAAACUGUCUUUGUCUUAAAAAUUGAAUUUAACUUUUAAGUGAGAGGGCUUAAAUGGAUUAAAGGGACGAUAAGACCCUGUAAAGUUUAUACAUUAGAUUAAUUAAAAAUAAUUAAGGAGAUUAAAAUUUAUUAUUGGGGAGGUGUUUAGUUGGGGCGACUAGGAUAUAAUUUAAUUAUAACUGUCUUAGAUUAAGAUCAAAGAUAUUUGAGUUUAUGAUCCUUUUUUAGGAUUCAAGAACAAGUUACUUCAGGGAUAACAGCGUAAUUUUUUUUGAGAGUUCUUAUCGACAAAAGAGUUUGCGACCUCGAUGUUGAAUUAAAAGUUUCUCUGGAAGUGCAGCAAUUUCAGGAGAAGGU